UACAGAGGGGGCAAGCGUUGUUCGGAAUUACUGGGCGUAAAGGGCGCGUAGGUGGCCUUCUAAGUCGAACGUGAAAUCCCCGGGCUCAACCCGGGAACUGCGUCCGAUACUGGCAGGCUUGAAUUCGGGAGAGGGAUGCGGAAUUCCAGGUGUAGCGGUGAAAUGCGUAGAUAUCUGGAGGAACACCGGUGGCGAAGGCGGCAUCCGUGGACCGAGAUUGACGCCUGAGGCGCGAAAGCCAGGGGAGCAAACGGG
rnacentral:rRNA from 1 species